GACGGAGGGGGCUAGCGUUGUUCGGAAUUACUGGGCGUAAAGCGCACGUAGGCGGCUUUGUAAGUUAGAGGUGAAAGCCCGGGGCUCAACUCCGGAAUUGCCUUUAAGACUGCAUCGCUAGAAUUGUGGAGAGGUAAGUGGAAUUCCGAGUGUAGAGGUGAAAUUCGUAGAUAUUCGGAAGAACACCAGUGGCGAAGGCGACUUACUGGACACAUAUUGACGCUGAGGUGCGAAAGCGUGGGGAGCAAACAGG
rnacentral:rRNA from 1 species